rnacentral:rRNA from 1 species
ACGAACGCUGGCGGCGUGCUUAACACAUUCAAGUCGAACGGAAAGGCCCUGCUUUUGUGGGGUGCUCGGGUUGCGAACGGGUGAGUAACACGUGAGUAACCUUCCCUUUACUUUUGGAUUACUUCCGGAAACUUGGGCUUAUACCGGAUUGGAGCCCCUGCUUCCUUGUGGGGGUUGGAAAAUUUCGGCGGUUGGGGAUGGACUCGCGGCGUAUCAGCUUGUUGGUGGGGUAGUGGCCUACCAAGGCUUUGACGGGUAGCCGGCCUGAGAGGGUGACCGGCCACAUUGGGACUGAGAUACGGCCCAGACUCCUACGGGAGGCAGCAGUGGGGAAUAUUGCACAAUGGGCGGAAGACUGAUGCAGCAACGCCGCGUGCGGGAUGACGGCCUUCGGGUUGUAAACCGCUUUCGCCUGUGACGAAGCGUGAGUGACGGUAAUGGGUAAAGAAGCACCGGCUAACUACGUG